rnacentral:rRNA from 1 species
CUGGCUCAGGAUGAACGCUGGCGGCGUGCUUAACACAUGCAAGUCGAACGAGAGCUACAGGAGGAAGUUUUCGGAUGGAAUCCGGUAGAUCGAGUGGCGGACGGGUGAGUAACGCGUGGGGAACCUGCCUCAUACAGGGGGA